rnacentral:rRNA from 1 species
AACGAACGCUGGCGGCAGGCUUAACACAUGCAAGUCGAACGCCCCGCAAGGGGAGUGGCAGACGGGUGAGUAACGCGUGGGAAUCUACCCAGUUCUGCGGAACAACAGUUGGAAACGACUGCUAAUACCGCAUACGCCCUACGGGGGAAAGAUUUAUCGGAAUUGGAUGAGCCCGCGUAAGAUUAGCUAGUUGGUGGGGUAAUGGCCUACCAAGGCGACGAUCUUUAGCUGGUCUGAGAGGAUGAUCAGCCACACUGGGACUGAGACACGGCCCAGACUCCUACGGGAGGCAGCAGUGGGGAAUAUUGGACAAUGGGCGCAAGCCUGAUCCAGCCAUGCCGCGUGAGUGAUGAAGGCCUUAGGGUUGUAAAGCUCUUUCACCGAUGAAGAUAAUGACGGUAGUCGGAGAAGAAGCCCCGGCUAACUUCGUGCCAGCCGCCGCAGUAAAAC